UACGUAGGGUGCAAGCGUUAAUCGGAAUUAUUGGGCGUAAAGGGUGCGCAGGCUGUGCUGUAAGUCAGAUGUGAAAUCCCCGGGCUCAACCUGGGAAUUGCGUUUGAAACUGUAGCGCUAGAGUGUGGUAGAGGAGAGUGGAAUUCCAUGUGUAGCAGUGAAAUGCGUAGAGAUGUGGAAGAACACCAAUGGCGAAGGCAGCUCUCUGGAUUAACACUGACGCUCAUGCACGAAAGCGUGGGGAGCAAACAGG
rnacentral:rRNA from 1 species